rnacentral:rRNA from 1 species
AACGAACGCUGGCGGCAUGCCUAACACAUGCAAGUCGAACGAGACCUUCGGGUCUAGUGGCGCACGGGUGCGUAACGCGUGGGAACCUGCCCUUAGGUUCGGAAUAACUCCCCGAAAGGGGUGCUAAUACCGGAUAAUGUCUUCGGACCAAAGAUUUAUCGCCUUUGGAUGGGCCCGCGUUGGAUUAGCUAGUUGGUAGGGUAAAAGCCUACCAAGGCGACGAUCCAUAGCUGGUCUGAGAGGAUGAUCAGCCACACUGGGACUGAGACACGGCCCAGACUCCUACGGGAGGCAGCAGUGGGGAAUAUUGGACAAUGGGCGAAAGCCUGAUCCAGCAAUGCCGCGUGAGUGAUGAAGGCCUUAGGGUUGUAAAGCUCUUUUACCCGGGAUGAUAAUGACAGUACCGGGGGAAUAAGCUCCGGCUAACUCCGUGC